UUUCGAAUACAUAUAUUAGUAUCGUUCUUUCAUUGGGAAUGGUUGCUGAUUUGGAUUUUAUAUAUGGAGAAACUUUUAGUUUUAGGGUGAAGAGAAGGGGAAAAUGAAAGAGAGGCGGAACUGAAAAGGAUGGAAAAAGCAGAGAACAAAUCGUAGUCCAAGGAACUUAUUCCUUUGUAGAAAUGGAUGGUAUGGGAAACACUGUAGCACGAGGGAAUGCGAGAAGAGUCGAUCUUUUCUGGCUUCUUUUGCAGCUUCCAAUCUAUCCGGUGAUAUCUUAGUCUGACAGGUGGAUUUUAGACAAGAAGCUCUGAAGUUAUGGGACGAGUCUACGCAAUUAAAUUUUCCAUUGAGCAACUACGUAAAUGACAUGGAGGAGCUGACGUUGUUUACCAAGAAAGACUACCUGCUCCAUAUCCGAAGUUUUCAGAAACAUGACAAGCUUUGCCAGGGCAAUGUCCAAAUAUCGUGGAGUUUCAAGGAAACCUUGCAUUGAAAAUAAAAUAACUAUUUGAGGCUUGAAAUGCGGAGAUUUGAAGCUAGGAGAAGAAAACAAUGAGAUUGGAAGAAAAUUGCAAAUCGACUUUUUCGGUGAUUUUUCUGGCGAGCCGCCACUCAUGGAGGGCCUUUUCUCCAGCAAAGGAGGACCAUGGUGGUGAGAAUAUCCCAUCACUUGAAAUUCAAAUAUUUCCCUACACCUUGUCCUUUUGUCACCUUGCCAAUUUGGGACCAUUUGGGGGACAAUGGUGUAAGAGCAUCUCUUGCACACUUGGGGACCAAAUUAAGAGGACAUACAUAGCUAAUCAAAGAGAGGUCAAAGGGGAAUUAUUCAGAAAUUCUUGACUCCAUUCAAUCAUCUUCAUCCUAUCCAAGAUCCAUUUUCUCUCUAGAUAAGACACCACCAUUUCCACCACUAAAACCACCAUCCCCACCUCUAAAACCUCCAUUUCCACCACUACAACCUCCAUUUCCUCCACCAUUCAACACCAUAACUCACCUUAGAGAUUCCAAAUUUCACUUUUCUUACCAAUAUCAAGAGCUUGGAGCAAGGAGAAGGAGGUGACUACCACCACAUCAUGUUCUUGGAGACCCAUCUCCACCACCUCUUCCGGCAUCAUCAAUAGUCACCCUUUACUCUCUAUCUCUUUAUGUAUUUGAUGUUUAAUAGAAUGUUGAA